GUGGGGAAUUUUGGACAAUGGGCGCAAGCCUGAUCCAGCCAUUCCGCGUGCAGGAUGAAGGCCUUCGGGUUGUAAACUGCUUUUGUACGGAACGAAAAGCCUCUGGUUAAUACCCGGGGGUCAUGACGGUACCGUAAGAAUAAGCACCGGCUAACUACGUGCCAGCAGCCGCGGUAAUACGUAGGGUGCGAGCGUUAAUCGGAAUUACUGGGCGUAAAGCAUGCGCAGGCGGUGAUGUAAGACAGUUGUGAAAUCCCCGGGCUCAACCUGGGAACUGCAUCUGUGACUGCAUUGCUGGAGUGCGGCAGAGGGGGAUGGAAUUCCGCGUGUAGCAGUGAAAUGCGUAGAUAUGCGGAGGAACACCGAUGGCGAAGGCGAUCCCCUGGGCCUGCACUGACGCUCAUGCACGAAAGCGUGGGGAGCAAACAGGAUUAGAAACCCCUGUAGUCC
rnacentral:rRNA from 1 species